GUGUACCGGAAGGUGCACCUGGAAAGUCAGGAUAGAGCUUGAUUAGUUAAGCAUUUCAUUUACACUGAAAAUACACUGUGCAAUUCAGUUUAUUCUGAUAAAUUUUAACUUACUUUAGUUGUUAGUUGUUAAAAGUUUUUUUAAUUAAAUUAUUUUUAAUAGGUUAUGUUUGUGUAUAGAAUAUAGAUAAAAUUAUUUAAGUGGUAGGUUAAUUGUAUCGUGAGAGGUUGAUUGAAAUAGUUUGAAAAUAUAUUUUUAUAAAAGUAGAUUAAUGAUUGUACCUUGUGUAUCAGGGUUUAUUAAAAAAAUUGCAAAUAUUUGUAUUUUCCCGAUUUGAAGAGAGCUAAAUAAAUGUGUUAGUUAAUGUGGAAUAAUUAUUAAUAACAUUUAUUUAGUAAUGAAACGUUAUCCGUUCUUUAAGAUAUCUGGUUUUCCGAGAAAUGAAUUUAAUUCAGGUUUAAAAAAGUGUAAUUUAAUUUAUUAAAUAAAUCAUUUUUUUAAGCUAAUGCCCUGGGGGAUAAGCUUUAGGGUAGGUUUUAUAAUUAGUGAAAUUUUAAAAGAUUUAGUAGGCUUAGAAUUAGCCAUCUAUUAAAGGAUGUUAUAAUUUAAUUUUUUGUAAGUUUAAUUUUCUAAGAAUUUAAGUUUUAUAUCGGAGCAAUGUAACUAAUUUUUAGUUACUUGAGAUAAUGAUAAAAUUAGUAUAAAAAUUGUUUAAAUUAUUAAAAAAAUGUGAGGUUACAUUAAGGAAUUAGGCAAAUUAGUACUCGCCUGUUUAACAAAAACAUGUCUUCUUGAUUAUAAUUUGAAGUCUGACCUGCCCACUGAAUUUUAUAUUUGAAGGGCCGCGGUAUUUUGACCGUGCAAAGGUAGCAUAAUCAUUAGUCUUUUAAUUGAAGGCUAGAAUGAAUGGUUGGACGAGGUACUGACUGUCUCGGUGUGAUUGAUAUUAGAAUUUAACUUUUAAGUUAAAAGGCUUAAAUAUAUUUAA
rnacentral:rRNA from 1 species